GAUGAACGCUGGCGGCGUGCCUAAUACAUGCAAGUCGAACGCACAGCGAAAGGUGCUUGCACCUUUCAAGUGAGUGGCGAACGGGUGAGUAACACGUGGACAACCUGCCUCAAGGCUGGGGAUAACAUUUGGAAACAGAUGCUAAUACCGAAUAAAACUUAGUGUCGCAUGACACAAAGUUAAAAGGCGCUUCGGCGUCACCUAGAGAUGGAUCCGCGGUGCAUUAGUUAGUUGGUGGGGUAAAAGCCUACCAAGACAAUGAUGCAUAGCCGAGUUGAGAGACUGAUCGGCCACAUUGGGACUGAGACACGGCCCAAACUCCUACGGGAGGCUGCAGUAGGGAAUCUUCCACAAUGGGCGAAAGCCUGAUGGAGCAACGCCGCGUGUGUGAUGAAGGCUUUCGGGUCGUAAAGCACUGUUGUAUGGGAAGAACAGCUAGAAUAGGAAAUGAUUUUAGUUUGACGGUACCAUACCAGAAAGGGACGGCUAAAUACGUGCCAGCCGCCGCCGUAACAC
rnacentral:rRNA from 1 species